rnacentral:rRNA from 1 species
GACGAACGCUGGCGGCGUGCCUAAUACAUGCAAGUAGAACGCACAGUUUAUACCGUAGCUUGCUCCACCAUAGACUGUGAGUUGCGAACGGGUGAGUAACGCGUAGGUAACCUGCCUGGUAGCGGGGGAUAACUAUUGGAAACGAUAGCUAAUACCGCAUAAUAUUAAUUAUUGCAUGAUAAUUAAUUGAAAGGUGCAAUUGCACCACUACCAGAUGGACCUGCGUUGUAUUAGCUAGUAGGUGAGGUAACGGCUCACCUAGGCGACGAUACAUAGCCGACCUGCGAGGGUGAUCGGCCACACUGGGACUGAGACACGGCCCAGACUCCUACGGGAGGCAGCAGUAGGGAAUCUUCGGCAAUGGACGAAAGUCUGACCGAGCAACGCCGCGUGAGUGAAGAAGGUUUUCGGAUCGUAAAGCUCUGUUGUAAGAGAAGAACGGGUGUGAGAGUGGAAAGUUCACACUGUGACGGUAUCUUACCAGAAAGGGACGGCUAACUACGUG